rnacentral:rRNA from 1 species
UACGUAGGGUGCGAGCGUUAAUCGGAAUCACUGGGCGUAAAGCGCACGUAGGCGGAUCUUUAAGUCAGGGGUGAAAUCCCGGAGCUCAACUCCGGAACUGCCUUUGAUACUGGGGAUCUUGGAGUCCGGGAGAGGUGAGUGGAACUGCGAGUGUAGAGGUGAAAUUCGUAGAUAUUCGCAAGAACACCAGUGGCGAAGGCGGCUCACUGGCCCGGUACUGACGCUGAGGUGCGAAAGCGUGGGGAGCAAACAGG